rnacentral:rRNA from 1 species
GACGAACGCUGGCGGCGUGCUUAACACAUGCAAGUCGUACGGUAAGGCCCUUCGGGGUACACGAGUGGCGAACGGGUGCGUAACACGUGGGUGAUCUGCCCUGCACUUCGGGAUAAGCCUGGGAAACUGGGUCUAAUACCGGAUAGGACCACUGCCUGCAUGGGUGGGUGUGGAAAGCUUUUGUGGUGUGGGAUGGGCCCGCGGCCUAUCAGCGUGUUGGUGGGGUGAUGGCCUACCAAGGCGACGACGGGUAGCCGGCCUGAGAGGGUGACCGGCCACACUGGGACUGAGAUACGGCCCAGACUCCUACGGGAGGCAGCAGUGGGGAAUAUUGCACAAUGGGCGCAAGCCUGAUGCAGCGACGCCGCGUGAGGGAUGACGGCCUUCGGGUUGUAAACCUCUUUCAGCACCGACGAAGCGCAAGUGACGGUAGGUGCAGAAGAAGGACCGGCCAACUACGUGCCAGCCGCCGCAGUAA